GGGUGACAGGGGCUGCGUCUCAACCUCUGUUUGGGCAUCAGGUGGCUGACACCUGUCCUCAGGCACAGGUGAGAUGGAUGACAGGGGCUGUGUCACUGUGAAAGCAUUCAUUUGGUCCUCUCGCUGUGAACAUGGGUCUGAAUCUGAAGUGGACUGGAUCUGAUGUUCUGGGACAGCAUGAGGUUUCUUGUGUUUGGGUGGCCUCCCCCUCUUGCGCCGUUCACUGUGUGGCUGUGACGCAUCAGAGGUUCCUUUCUCCGCUGUACUCUGUUUCUGGGGUGAAACAAGUGGUUCAGCUCCUAGCUCGCUGGUCAGUGAGUCUGUGUGUUCUCCAGCAGUUAGGACAUUUGGGCUGGUUGUAUCUCCUUGUUCUACAGAUGGACUAGAGAGAUGGGUCCCUUCAUUAUGCUGUACCUUCUGUAAGUCCUUGGUGGGGGAUGGUAGUUCAGAGGCGCCCACAGGUGGGCUGGGUGACAGGGGCUGCGUCUCAACCUCUGUUUGGGCAUCAGGUGGCUGACACCUGUCCUCAGGCACAGGUGAGAUGGGUGACAGGGGCUGCGUCUCAACCUCUGUUUGGGCAUCAGGUGGCUGACACCUGUCCUCAGGCACAGGUGAGAUGGAUGACAGGGGC